GUAUGAACGGCAAAACCUCUUCCAACUGUCUCCCCUCCCAUCCUUUUAAAUUUCCUCCUGUGUGAAGAAGCACAGAUAUAUCAGAAAGACGAGAAGACCCUGUCGAGCUUAACCACUAAGUGGGCCUUACCCUUUUCAGGCACCACCUAAAGGUUUUGGUUGGGGCAACCAUGGAGAAAAAAGAUCCUCCAGAACAAAUAGAAGAAAGCUUUUCACUAUUUUACGACUAAGAACCAGGAACUGGUAUUCGGAAAAAGUUACCGCAGGGAUAACAGCGUCAUCUCCUCUAAGAGUCCUUAUUGACGAGGAGGUUUGCGACCUCGAUGUUGGAUUGGGGCCCCCUUAGGGUGCAGAAGCUCUAAACGGUUAGACUGUUCGUCUAUUAAAGCCCUACAUGAUCUGA
rnacentral:rRNA from 1 species